GACGAACGCUGGCGGCGUGCUUAACACAUGCAAGUCGAACGGAAAGGCCCUGCUUUUGUGGGGUGCUCGAGUGGCGAACGGGUGAGUAACACGUGAGUAACCUGCCCUUGACUUUGGGAUAACUUCAGGAAACUGGGGCUAAUACCGGAUAGGAGCUCCUGCUGCAUGGUGGGGGUUGGAAAGUUUCGGCGGUUGGGGAUGGACUCGCGGCUUAUCAGCUUGUUGGUGGGGUAGUGGCUUACCAAGGCUUUGACGGGUAGCCGGCCUGAGAGGGUGACCGGCCACAUUGGGACUGAGAGACGGCCCAGACGCGUACGGGAGGCAGCAGUGGGGAAUAUUGCACAAUGGGCGGAAGCCUGAUGCAGCAACGCCGCGUGCGGGAUGACGGCCUUCGGGUUGUAAACCGCUUUCGCCUGUGACGAAGCGUGAGUGACGGUAAUGGGUAAAGAAGCACCGGCUAACUACGUG
rnacentral:rRNA from 1 species